UGUUGACCUCGAAUCAGGUAGGAAUACCCGCUGAACUUAAGCAUAUCAAUAAGCGGAGGAAAAGAAAACCAACCAA
rnacentral:rRNA from 1 species